rnacentral:rRNA from 1 species
AUUGAACGCUGGCGGCAUGCCUUACACAUGCAAGUCGAACGGCAGCACGGGAGCAAUCCUGGUGGCGAGUGGCGAACGGGUGAGUAACAUAUCGGAACGUGCCCAGUCGUGGGGGAUAACGUAGCGAAAGCUACGCUAAUACCGCAUACGAUCUAUGGAUGAAAGCGGGGGAUCGCAAGACCUCGCGCGAUUGGAGCGGCCGAUAUCAGAUUAGGUAGUUGGUGGGGUAAAGGCUCACCAAGCCGACGAUCUGUAGCUGGUCUGAGAGGACGACCAGCCACACUGGGACUGAGACACGGCCCAGACUCCUACGGGAGGCAGCAGUGGGGAAUUUUGGACAAUGGGCGCAAGCCUGAUCCAGCAAUGCCGCGUGCAGGAUGAAGGCCUUCGGGUUGUAAACUGCUUUUGUACGGAGCGAAAAGGCUCUCUCUAAUACAGGAGGCUCAUGACGGUACCGUAAGAAUAAGCACCGGCUAACUAUGUGCCAGCCGCCGCCGUAAUAC